rnacentral:rRNA from 1 species
GCAACGCGCAGAACCUUACCCAGCCCUUGACCAUGUGACUUCGCCCGGAUCCAGAGAUUGGAGCCCUUCGGUUUCGGCCCGGAGUUCAGCCACCAGGUGCUGCAUGGCUGUCGUCAGGCUCGUGUCGUGAGAUGUUGGGUUAAGUCCCGCAAUCGAGCGCAACCCUCGUCUCCCAGUUGCCCAUCAGGUUAUGCUGGGCACUUUGGAGAAACUGCCGGUGACAAGCCGGAGGAAGGUGGGGAUGACGUCAAGUCCUCAUGGCCCUUACGGGCUGGGCUACACACGUGCUACAAUGGCGGUGACAGUGGGAUGCGAAGGGGCGACCCGGAGCCGAUCCCCAAAAACCGUCCCAGUUCGGAUUGCACUCUGCAACUCGAGUGCAUGAAGUUGGAAUCGCUAGUAAUCGCGGAUCAGCAUGCCGCGGUGAAUACGUUCCCGGGCCCUUGUAACAGCACCGCCCGUCACGCCAUGGGAGGUUGGUUCUACCCGAAAACGGUGCGCUAACCGCAAGGGGGCAGCCGGU